UGUGCUGCCGGCAAACAUAUUACAUAAUCUAAAGAUCAAAGUACAAGAACAUAGGGAAAUAUUAUGCGUGAGAAAUCAUUCCUAAAGUUAAUCCUUACGAAUUGCUUUAUUGAAUGAACGAUGGCGUUUGACCGUCACCUUUCUUUUCCGGUGGGGCGCUCAUAGUGUGAAAUCAACAUAUAUCGGUAGUAACGGCAGGAACACUUUUGACAGAUGUAUUAUGCAUUUAUAAGAACUUCGUCUUCAGAUAAACAAAGGUUUUCCAGGAGGCUAUUGUAUGCAAGAGGGUGUACCGAAUUGGGUUUAGGCUUAACGUUACAGUAAAAUGUCACGAGUUAAAUCAGACUCACCCACCGCGGUUACCGAUGUACAUACAGGCUCAAAGAUGCAGAGAGUAAUUUACGUUACUUACCUCAUAGCUGUCCUGGAUAUCACAUGCAUGUUUUUACAGUUUUCCAUCACUCCUUAUUUGGCGAAGAAGCUGGGAUUUGACACCCUAUGGAUUGGCUAUUUGCAAACCAUGGUUGGUGUCGUCCAAUUGUUGGGAGGCCCGAUAUUUGGCAGGUUUGCAGACCUUUUUGGUGCCAGGGCAGCAAUGUGUCUAUCCUGCACUGCCUCUGUAGUCUACUAUGGGUUACUAGCGAUAGCUGACAGUCCUCUCAUGCUCUUCAUCCACAAACUCCCCGCUGUCUUGAUGCAUGGCUUGCCUGGUAAGUGCUACACUGCCUGUUGUUUAUUUAACCUUUAUUUUAGCAGGGAGUCCCAUUGAGAGCAAGGUCUCUUUUUCAAGGGAGCCCUGCAUGACAUGAUCCACAGCAAUUACACAAUCACAGUUAGAGACAGAUAUACUAACUGUUGUUCCCUUCAUACUCAAACUCCCAGAUAAGUCCCCAGUGUAUGUACCGUGCCUAGGACCUACUGUACUAGACAGCCCUCUAACAGAUCCUUUAGGACCUCCUGUACUAGGAUCUACUGUACUAGACAGCCCUCUAACAGAUCCUAUAGUAUCUACUGUACUAGACAGCCCUCUAACAGAUCCUAUAGUAUCUCCUGUACUAGGAUCUACUGUACUAGACAGCCCUCUAACAGAUACUAUGUGAUCUACUGUACUAGGAUCUACUGUACUAGACAGCCCUCUAACAGAUCCUAUAUGAUCUACUGUACUAGGAUCUACUGUACUAGACAGCCCUCUAACAGAUCCUAUAGGACCUCCUGUACUAGGAUCUACUGUACUAGACAG